CCUACGGGUGGCAGCAGUGGGGAAUAUUGCGCAAUGGGCGAAAGCCUGACGCAGCGACGCCGCGUGAGGGAUGAAGGUCUUCGGAUCGUAAACCUCUGUCAGCAGGGAAGAAAGGUCACUGUGCUAGUCAGCAGUGAAUUGACGGUACAUGCAAAGGAAGCACCGGCUAACUCCGUGCCAGCAGCCGCGGUAAUAAGGAGGGUGCGAGCGUUAAUCGGAAUUACGGGGCGUAAAGCGCUCGUAGGAGGUAUGUCAAGUCAAGGGUGAAAGCCCCGCGCUCAACGUGGGAACUGCCUGUGAAACUGGCAAACUGGAGUGUGUGAUAGGAUAGUGGAAUUCCAGGUGUAGGAGUG
rnacentral:rRNA from 1 species